rnacentral:tRNA from 1 species
GGAAGCGCUCGCUAGUCUGGUGACGGCCGCGGUCUUCAAAACCGUUGGGACAGGCUGAGAGGCCGAGUCCGGCGAGUUCGAUUCUCGUGCGCUUCCGCCA